GGUUAAUUAUUUUUCAUAUUAACUCUUUGCCUGACAAUUUGUUGUAGAACUACAACAAGGGCAAACACUUGCGUUUUACAGGAAACCACACCUUCUUGGCAGAAAUUGGUAUUGAAUAAUAUUAGUGGUAAAAUAGAAACCAUAAGAAAGAAUAGAAAAGUGAAAGAAUGCUUUGUCGGCACUUUGAUAUAAUUGCUAUUCAACA
rnacentral:lncRNA from 1 species